UUCCUUCAAAAUUUCCAAAAUCAAACAUUGCAUCCUUAGGGUUGGUAACAAUCCCAGAAGAAACCAGAAACCAAUUAAAAUUUAUAUCCUGGAUAUAUGUGGAAAGAACUGGAUGCAUUCAUAGCAAAUUAGACUUUGGAAGUGUAGAGGAAAGAAUGAUCAUCUCCUGGAAUGUGAAAUCUGAAUGCAUCCAUGACAUCCAUCCCACUUGGUUCCCAUGCCUAGGAUCACAGAGUAUUCAUGUAAAUCCACAAAAACAAUAAUAACCACGUUUAGUGGGGUUUUUAAUGUUGCAGAAAAGAUGAAUAAACAUUUUGGGUAUUGAAUACAAAUGUGUGAGAAAUAUGUCCAUUCUUUUCCAAAGCAUUAUUAUUGAUGGAUCAAUUUGAUUUGGGUGAGUGUUUGAUAAUAUUCAAAGUGACAGAUUGCUGACCUUCUUGUUUUUUGUCUAAUUGUUGAAUGUUAUCUACAUUAUUACUAUUGGAGCCAAAAAAAUUACAUUAAUAUUGAUGGAACAAUUGAUCUUGAGGACUCCUCCUGACAUGAUUGGGGCACCCAUAUCUCUAAACGGAGCAUCUUCUUGGAAUGAUUCCUCACAAUUCAUGGGCACUAGCAUAAGGGUUCAAGUGGUUCCAGGUUGAGCAUCUCCCUGGAACAAAGGUGAAUAAGUGUCUUAGAUGCGAGGGCAAGGGCAGGUAGCAGACGAAGCUCCACCUUUAGCUACUCCAUAGGCACAUAUCCCUCUCUCGGGCGCUAGGCCAGCCACAACUGGUCUUUGUGGAAAAGGCCAACGAUGCCCGCGAUGGGGGCAUCUAAUAGUGGAAAUCCAAGGAAGGAAGAAAAUGGUUGAGUGUGAGAAAGCAAGUAGGAAGAAACAAGAGAAAGCGGGGAAGAAAUACCUCAUAUAGGAGUUUGCGGGGGACCAUUGGGAAACUAAAAAACGCAUUCGCCAUGUCUCUUGAAAGAUGUGCCUAUAAUUAAAGUCUAAUUGGGAGCUUACCAUAAUUCAAUGCAUUCAUAGGGUAUGUGCGAGCUUGGGUUGUUCGACAACCUGCAUGAUCAACCUACCAAUCGAGCUAAUCCUAAACCACCUACAAAACCCAUCACAAUUGGACGACAAUGGAGAGGGAUAGGCCAACCUGGCCUCCCCACUCUAACCGGCCCCCAUCAGUAGAUGUCUGCAAGAAGGACGCCUACCACUUCUCGAGACAGAAGAAGAGGGUGCAACAAGAAUGGGGGGAGCUCUUGAGGGCAUACCUUUCCAAGUAGAGACGGUUUGAUGUCUUGUAGUAAGUUCACCAUGACUAUCCAUCUGCUAGUUUAUACAGGGAAAAUAUUCAUAGCGAAUGUAUGGGGUUCGUGUUCACUCGGUUUAGGUAUAUUUUUUAAUGCUGCAAGGUAAGAUGUGUGCUCAAUAAUGACCAUAUGGAGAUAAUUUCCUUAGACAAGAGAAGCAAGGCUUGAGCCAAAGCAAAAUGGAUAGCAGAAGUGAUGCCUUUACAGUUCCACCGGAGCCGAAAGAUCAUGGAUUUCAACAGACGAUCGAACUGCUGUUGCAGUUGUGAUGAAACUUGCAUGUAGAUUUGCCAUAACGAAGAUGAUUUUCAUGGUGUUUCAAAUCCACAAAACCCUCUCUAUGAAACUAUUGUAGACCAUCUAUGGUGUAUGACAAUCAGCUAGUUUUGCAUUUUCUUGCUUUUCUUUUGUGCAAAUGCUUCAUGAACAUUGCUUAUCGA